rnacentral:lncRNA from 1 species
CUUUGUCUGCCCCCAGCCCAUGUGGGCAGCAGGGCUCCAGCAGAGAGGGUGGGCACAGGGCUGGGCAGGGCUGAGCUGCGUUGUGCCCCACAAUGGGAUGGGAUGGGACAGGGCAGGAUGGGAUGGGAGAACUCUCCCGUUCUCACUUUUGACCAGAAAUUCCUGAGAAGAGUUAAGCUGAAACCAGCACGUUCCCAUAACGAGACUUUGUUUCGACACAUCAGCGUUUUUCCAAGGAAAAAAAAAAAAAAACACCCAACAACAACAACAACAAAAAAACACAACAAAAACAACUCCAAGAUCCCUCUGCUUAGUUGGAAAAGCCCCAUCUCGCUUCUGCUCUGAGCUUCCCAGGCAGUGAGAGGCAGCGACUCGUUCGCAGGGAUGGACCCUGGAGGCACAGGGCAGGGCAGGACCCCGGGGCUGGCCGUGCUGCAGCUUCCCCAUGCCUUGGGGUGGGCAGCAGACCCCACUCUGCCAUGGGUUGGGAGGCAGCUGCUGCUCAGAGGAUCCCGUCCUUAGCAGUGCACACGCCUGGCCCGGCCUUCCUGCAGGCAGAGCAUCCCUGCAAGUGUGCACUCUGCUGCACAGGGCAGCAAACCCCGCUAGCGCCUUCCUCUGCACCAGGCUUCACCUGUGCCCUGGGAUGCAGCCUCGUUGUUUUCCUGUCUGCACCUUGCUGGGACCACUCCUUGCACCCCCGCCUCAUUUCUCUUCCUCUCCCUCUCCCCACAUACCCCUUUUUUUGACUGCAUUCCUGGAGCAGCACUCUCUUCCCCCGGCUCCUCUCUCAGGACUUUAUUUACACACACAUAUUUCUUUCCCCACGCAGCAAGGAAACCUGAGCACGGAGCUGGCAGGGGCUGGUGGGCAGCUCCAACCCAGAGUGGCAGCAUCAGGCGGGAGGACGCCGUCACCCAGCGACCUAUGGCUGGGACCCAACGAGCGACGUUUGCAAAGCACCACCACUCAAUCAACAAACCUUGUUGUCUGCGGAGAAACAAGAAUGUUAAAAGAAGCCGCAGGGCCGGGGCGGAGGGUGUCUGAUUGCAGAGCAGGGGGCUGCCACUUCCAGCAUCUGUCAGUGCAUGGCUUUCAGGAAUGUCUAUGUAUAAAUAAAUGCAAUGAAAAGGUCCCCAGUUCCAGUGAAAGGAAAUGAUUUCCUCCUCAAGUGAUUAAGGGCACCA